rnacentral:rRNA from 1 species
UUGCAUAUAAUAAGCGAGGAAAAGAAACAACAGGGAUUGCCCUAGUAACGGCGAGUGAAGCGGCAACAGCUCAAAUUUGAAAUCGGGCCCGAGCCUGAGUUGUAAUUUGCAGAGGAUGCUUCAGGCGAGGUGCCUCCCGAGUUCCCUGGAACGGGGCGCCCAAAGAGGGUGAGAGCCCCGUACGGUUGGACACCAAGCUCAUGUGAAGCUCCCUCGACGAGUCGAGCAGUUUGGGAAUGCUGCUCUAAGUGGGAGGUACAUUCCUUCUAAAGCUAAAUAUUGGCCAGAGACCGAUAGCGCACAAGUAGAGUGAUCGAAAGAUGAAAAGCACUUUGAAAAGAGAGUCAAAUAGCACGUGAAAUUGUUGAAAGGGAAGCGCCCGUGGCCAGACUUGCCCCUGCCCAUCCCUUGUGCCCCACAAGGUACAAGGACCAAUGGGUAGAAGGGCAGGCCAGCGCCGGUUUCCACCGAGGGAUAAAGCCGUCAGGAAUGUGGCCCUCUUCACGGGGGGUGUUAUAGCCUGAUGGCAUACCUUGGUAGGGACCGAGUCUUGCGCUCUGCAAGGACGCUGGCGUAAUGGCCACCGGCGACCCGUCUUGAAMACGRACCUAGAC